rnacentral:lncRNA from 1 species
UUGAAGCGGGCAAGACACCCAAUGCUGAAGCGGCUAUUCCGGAGGAUAUUCCCAAUGAUCCACCGCAGCAAGAUUACUAUCUUAUUGCAGAAGAGAGACCUACUGACACCUCAGGUCCUACCCAUCAGCCUACAGGUUCCAUCCGGAUUGAAAGCUCCACCUGUCCAGCAAAGCCUACUGACAAGCCAACAACUCCAGUGCAAACCGACGGUACCAAAGAUGAUGAGGUUGUCAUUACUGGUACUGGCCAUACUGAGCCAAACAAUCCUGUCGCUUUAUCCAAGCAUUCUGCCAAGGAAGAACUUGCUACCUUUGGUAAAGGCAAGUGGAACGCUGAUCUGACGACUUACGCUGCUCUGAACGCCCAAGAUAUCCAUUCCGGCUAUCUGAACCGGCUGUAUACCAGUCGUGACUAUGAAGCCGGUCUGUUAAUAUGAUGAAAGACAAAUAUGAGGUAAUUUCCAUACGCUCCUUCCUGCUUGUAUGCUUCCAUUCCUGACUCUCCUAGCCCCCAAGGGCCGGUUUGGAAUAUUCUUUCAAAUCAGGACUUAAAUAAUAUCAAUCUUGUUGUUUUGAAAUUUGCUGAUGUAGCCCCCAAGGGCCGGUUCAACUUUAGCGUAGUUAAACCGGUACUUUAAGUAACUGAAACUGCCUCAUCAGAAUAUAUAUGAUCAAAUAGCCAUUAGCCCCCAAGUGCCAAGCUGAAUACUUGUAUUGAUCUUGGGACUUUGUAAACAAUUGAAAGAUGAAGGAGUAAAUCGGAGGUCGCUUUAGAUCAAAUAUGCAUUAGCCCCCAAGUACUAAUCGCAUAACUUGUUAUGUGGUUGGUACUUGAAUCCUUCUACCAAUUUGUUGAAGCAUAUAUCUGUAUGCAUGCAGGCGGAGUUGAAGACGAAAGAGAACCAAGUCAUUGAUCUUCAAGAAG